UACGUAGGGGGCAAGCGUUAUCCGGAUUCACUGGGUUUAAAGGGUGCGUAGGAGGGCAGGUAAGUCAGUGGUGAAAUCUCCAAGCUUAACUUGGAAACUGCCGUUGAUACUAUCUGUCUUGAAUAUUGUGGAGGUGAGCGGAAUAUGUCAUGUAGCGGUGAAAUGCUUAGAUAUGACAUAGAACACCAAUUGCGAAGGCAGCUCACUACUCAAUCAUUGACUCUGAGGCACGAAAGCGUGGGGAUCAAACAGG
rnacentral:rRNA from 1 species